rnacentral:misc_RNA from 1 species
AGAAAACGCCGAAAUAUGCUGAUAUUAGCAGCGGAGUUUCAAAUAAACAAAAUCAAUCAUUAAACCCCUAAGUAUUUUUGCACCGGAUUGUAAUGCAUAGUUUAUUUGAUUGAAUAACGCUUCGUAAAUGGUUUUUUAGCGUAAAAACAAAAAUGGUUCUAUUAAUAUUUUACAGUUGAACGAUAAUAAAGAUUUAAAAUAUUUAGAAAUUUGGCGCGUAAAAAGAAAAUUAAUUCUUGAUUAGGCAAAUGGAUGACGUUAUUGCUUUAAUAGACAUGGAUUGCUUCUACGUACAAGUAGAAAGAAAGUUCAAUCCUGAAUUUGAAAACAAGCCAUGUAUUGUGGUUCAGUAUAGACUAUAUAGAGGAGGAGGAGUGUUAGCCGUUAGUUACGAAGCGAGAAAAUUUGGCAUAAAGAGGGGUAUGAUGGCUGACGAAGCGUGCGAAUUGUGUCCUGAAUUAUGUAUAGCCAGAGUUCAAGAGACCAAUGGAAAAGCUAACAUUCAAAGAUAUAGAGACGCUGGAGCCGACGUAAUUAAAUCUAUAACAAAGCUGACACCUAAUGUGGAGAAGGCUAGUGUUGAUGAAGCAUAUAUAAAUUUAACAUCCUUAGUUAAUGAAAGAUUAAAGAAUUACGGAACUAUUGAUGAAAGUCUUUUAGAAAAUACCUUUGUGGAGGGAUUGAACAAUCCAGAAGCGGACAAGAACCUCUCAGAGUCGGUUCCUGAGGAUUCUGGGGUGAAAGCUUUUAUAAAAGUGUGCAACAACACAUGUAUUAAUAAUUUAAAGUUAUUACUAGGAGCGAAGAUAGUGGAAGAAAUAAGACAGGAAAUCUUUAAGGACACUGGCUUCCGUUGUUCUGCUGGAAUUUCUCAUAAUAAAACAUUAGCUAAACUGGCUUGCGGACUGCAUAAACCAAAUAAACAGACAAUACUUCCAAAAUCUUCUGUUCAAUCACUUUUCAACGUGAUACAUAUAAAACAAAUAAGAAAUUUAGGUGGCAAACUUGGUGACCAAAUUUGCUCUGAUCUUAAAAUUUCUACAAUGGGGGAAUUGUGUAACAUUUCAUUAAAAAAACUGCAGCAUUUAUAUAAUGAUAAAACAGGACAGUGGAUAUACGAUUUGUGCAGAGGAAGAGACAUUGAGCCUGUUGCUGAGCGACAACUUUCAAAAUCAAUCGCUUGUAGUCGAAAUUUUCGAGGGCCAGAAGCUUUAAAGAGUGCAUCUUCGAUAAAGAAUUGGUUAAGCAAUUUUGCUGAGGAGCUACUCGAACGGUUAAAUAAAGAUUUAAAUGAGAAUAAACGCAAGGCAAAGCAGAUGGUUGUCUGCGCCAAAAUGCAGAUAAAGUUGGAAAAUGUUAGUCGAUCCUGGCCCUUAACGAAAUACUGUAAAGAAGCCAUUGUCAGUCGGUCUUUCAAUUUAUUACUAAAGUUUAAUCAGUCUUCCCAGACUUCAGAUCGUUGGUUUCCACCUCUCGUAUUACUUGGCUUAAGCGCCACGAAAUUUGAGGAUGUCAAUAUUACGUCAUCAAUUUCUACUUUUCUCGUUCCGCAGGAAUUCCAAUCAAAUAGAUUUGAUUAUGAUACAACUCCAAAGACGACGAUAAAAGAAGCAUCAAAGGAAAGAAAGUGUACAAGCGAUAUUAAAGACUUUUUUGAAAAGAAAAGUUGCAAGGAACCACCCAUUUCAAUGAUCACUUCGUCAAAUAGUCACAAAAAGAGACGAAUUGGACCACUAGAGAAACUGUGGAAGAAUAAGCAGCUUUCUAAUAAUGAACGUUUACCCUUGACAGGCAAUCAAUUAGUAAGAACGGAUUAUGAUAGUAAUACUGAAGGGAAAUCGUUCUCAUUGGACAGCUGUAAGAGUUCUCGGAACAAUGGUAAAGAUAACCGUUGUCAAUCUGAUACGGAUGAUGAUGAAAAUGAAAUAGAGAUAAUAGACAUUCUCAUUGGAGGGGAAAAAUCCGAAAUGAAAAAAAAACAAUUUGAAUGGAAAUUACCAUUGAGUUCCGCUAAUAUUUCACUUGAAGAAGUUGAUAAUUGCAAUAAAGUAUCAGUUUCGAAAGAUGCCCGAAGGGAUUCGCAAGUUGAGCAUAAAAAAGGAACUAAAUCGAUCAGAGAAUUCUUUAGUAAGAAUUAGGCAAAGUUACGUCGUUUUCAUCUUCUUUUUUAUGUAAUACAUUCGCCUUGACAUUUC